UUUUGUGACUGACCUACCAAAUAUUUGUUGAAAAAUUGGACCAAAACAUUUUUCUAAAACAAUAGGCCAUAUUUAAUUCAUAAUUGACCAAAUGGUUGGGUGUCAAAAGUUUGCUCUUUAUUUUUUCCAAAAAUCAUUUCUAGGUACAUAAGUAUCUAUUUAAUCAGAGAAACAUCAAAACUUUUCCAAGAUUCAACCACUAGCUAGGAAUGGUCAAGCCCGCCGUUUUGACCUCAUUUUGAAACGGUCAUAAAAAAUUAAAAAAAAUUAAAAAAUUGGUAAAGCUUCGCAUUGUGUCAUUAUAUGUGACCAAGUUUCCAGGAAAAUAAUAAAAUUGUAAUACGACAAUUAUUUUAAAAAAAUGUUCCCAGAAAUGAGCUAUCAUGCGUGAAGAUUCAUGGCUUUCAAGCCAAAUAAUUAAUCUUAUGGCCACAUUCAUGGCAUAGUUUGUUCAAAUGAUCUCAUAUUGUGCACAAGGGUGCAUCUUGGAAUUCAAAACAAUGUUGCCUAUGGGAGUUUUCAUUUUUUGCACGGAAAAUUCAUUUUCCAUUUUUUGAGUGUCUGAAAUGAGUUUUUUUGUGAAGGACUACCAUAUAUUUGCUGCAAAAUUGGACCAAAUCAUUUUUCUAAAAUACUAGGUCAUAUUUAAUGCACAAUUGACCAAAUGGUUGGGUGUAAAAAGUUUUGAUCCACAUCUCAUGGAAAAGACAAAUUUCUGAUGAUUCAGAUGGAAACAUGUCAAAUUUGAACUACAGCUGCCUCAUAGUUUGCUCUUUAUUUUUUCCAAAAAUCAUUUAUAGGUACACAAGUAUCUAUUUAAUCAUAGAAACAUCAAAAAAAAUUCCAUGAUUCAACCACUAGCUAGGAACGGUCAAGCCCGCCG
rnacentral:lncRNA from 1 species